GGGAGGCCGGGAGGGGUCCCUGGGCGGGGAGUUGCUGCGCAUCUGUUGUGUGUGUGCGUCUGUCUGUCUGUUCAGGUCUGUUUUAGGCUGUGUCUGCCUGUCUCUCUGUCUGGGUCUCUUUCAGGCUGCGUCGGUCUGUCUGUCUGGGUCUGUUUCAGGCUGUGUCUGUCUGUCUGUCUGGGUCUGUUUCAGGCUGUGUCUGUCUGUCUGUCCGGGUCUGUUUCAGGCUGUGUCUGUCUGUCUGUCCGGGUCUGUUUCAGGCUGUGUCUGUCUGUCUGUCCGGGUCUGUUUCAGGCUGUAUGUGUGUCUGCUCUUUGCUUCUGCUCCUGGCUCUGUGUGUAUUUCCCGGGUCCUGUG
rnacentral:lncRNA from 1 species